rnacentral:tRNA from 1 species
UCCCUGGUGGUCCAGUGGUUAAGACUCUGUACUUUCAAUGCAGGGAGCGCAGGUUCAGUUCCUGGUCAGGGAA